GAGUAUAAUUGGAGAAGGAGUUGGGGAGAGGGAGAGAAGAUUGCAUUCAGAAUAACCUUGGCUGACUGAUGCAAAAAGUAGAAUGAGGCAGGAUUUCUCUAGCCUGGAUCUCCAUGACAGGCAGGCAGUUUUGCAGAGGAGUUACUGUAGUUGAGGGUAAAUGAGAUGGAAAGGGACUUCAUGUAGUAAAAGAUACUUUUAUUUUAUACAAGGGCUAGAACCUUUGUCAUACUUUUGACCAAAGGAAACAGUAAACCAAGGGGCCAGUUUGUUGCAGAGUGGGGGAUCAGAUGAUUCAUAGGAAACAGAGCCCACAAAAGAGGGAGAGAGUGUUAGGAAGACUCCAGCUUCUCUGGUUGGAGCAUGAAAUGACAGAAUGGAGCAUAUCUAUUAUUUGCUGCAUUAAAAUGCAGUCUUUUAUAGUUUUCAUUCAUCAAUAUGGAAUUAAAACUUAAAACAAACUAAUAACAAAACAAAAUAUAUUUACCAUACUAUGAUUACUGGUAACCUUUAGGCUUAUUGAAUUACUUGUAAUAUGAUAUCUGUAAUGCCAGGUAUUAUCAUUUAAAAUAAAAUCUCAAGAACCUGAUAUAAGAAAAAUGACAACUGUAAUUACCAUAUAAUAUUUUUUUCCAGAAGUGCAGAGACUCUUUCCUGUAUUUCAUUAGGAUAAAGUUAUCUGAAAUCGUGCCUUUUAUCUGGGGUAUGGAGAAAAGCGGGUUGACAAAAAGAGGCUGGCACCUUGCCACUGUCUCUCAUUUCCUCUUUUGCCAUGUGAUCCCUGCACACAUCAGCUCCUCAGCUCCCCUUCACCUUUUGAAGCAGCCUCACUGUCUGGAGCAACACGGGAGGUUAGUCGUCUCACAGCCAUAGAGAACAAGGAAGUGGACACACAAAGAGUGAGGUUGAGAGUGGAAGGUUAGUAGAGGUAAAAAAGAGAAUAGCUCUCUGCAGAGAAGGGUCCCAGAAAAAUUGGUUGCUGAAUCCACAGUGAAAUGCAGCGGCUUUUAUCUAUGAGCUGGCGGGGAGGUGGUGAUCUACUUAAGGAAGGAAAAGCUGGUUGGACCAGGUGUGUCAUUUGCAUAGGGUGAGAAUCUCUGGUAAUCCCUAUCCCAAUCUUUUCUUAUGUAGGCAGGUUCUCUGCCUGAGCUGUGCUGUGUUGCCCAUUUAUUUACUACCACACAUGUGCUGACAAAAAAAGGGAAGAGGGAGCCUCCCCUCCAUAUUGGACAUGCCUGCCUCCCAAGUAACCUUUUCCUAUUGGUGCAGCUGUCCCUCAUGCAAGUGUCUAGCUUUUUUAUUUG
rnacentral:lncRNA from 13 species